GUGGCAGCCUCUGCAGCACAUAUACUAAAAUUAGAAUGAUACAGAGUACACUAUCAUCACCCGUGUGCAAGCAUGACAAAUUCAUGAAGCAUUCGUAUUUUUU
ensembl:snRNA U6 U6 spliceosomal RNA